rnacentral:rRNA from 1 species
UCGGCCUACGGGGCGCAGCAGUGAGGAAUAUUGGUCAAUGGGCGAGAGCCUGAACCAGCCAAGUCGCGUGAAGGAUGACGGCCCUACGGGUUGUAAACUUCUUUUGUCAGGGAGCAAUUGAGUCCACGUGUGGUCUUAGCGAGAGUACCUGAAGAAAAAGCAUCGGCUAACUCCGUGCCAGCAGCCGCGGUAAUACGGAGGAUGCGAGCGUUCUCCGGAUUUAUUGGGUUUAAAGGGUGCGUAGGCGGCAUAUCAAGUCAGCGGUAAAAAUUCGGG